CUCGGAACCAUGAGCUUCUUUUCUACCUGUUUUAGCGUGUCAACGGACGGUGAGACUUGGACUUUCUGGACCAGGAAAUGAAAUGACUAAUCUCUGGCUGAGGACGCCUCUAUCACCAUUUAGAAGUAGUAUCUCUGGAGAACUCCCCAGGCUCUAAGUUGUAGGAGAUUGCUCAGGUAUAUCCAUUCUGGGAUGUACUAUACUGUAGCACGGAAUCAGAAUCCCAGCUUCUCUACAGGCCGCUAAGCUGUUCGCCAUGAUGGAGUUCUCAGAAAGGGAAGGAAGACUGAGCAACAGCAGCGUGCUGCAGCAGGACUGUCCCCUCUGGCUUUGAAGACAGACAUGGUGGCACGGCAGCACGGCGGCAUGGCAGCAUGGCUGGCGGCACAGCGGCACAG